rnacentral:rRNA from 1 species
AACAGAGGGUGCAAACGUUGUUCGGAAUUACUGGGCGUAAAGCGCGUGUAGGCGGCUCGGCAAGUCGGAUGUGAAAGCCCUGGGCUUAACCUAGGAAGUGCAUUCGAAACUGCCAAGCUUGAGUUCUGGAGAGGAAGGCGGAAUUCUCGGUGUAGAGGUGAAAUUCGUAGAUAUCGAGAGGAACACCGGUGGCGAAGGCGGCCUUCUGGACAGCAACUGACGCUGAGACGCGAAAGCGUGGGGAGCAAACAGG